rnacentral:rRNA from 1 species
UACGUAGGGGGCAAGCGUUGUCCGGAUUUACUGGGCGUAAAGAGCGUGUAGGCGGUCUGGUAGGUCCGCUGUGAAAACUCGAGGCUCAACCUCGAGACGCCGGUGGAAACCAUCAGACUAGAGUCCGGAAGAGGAGAGCGGAAUUCCUGGUGUAGCGGUGAAAUGCGCAGAUAUCAGGAAGAACACCCGUGGCUAAGGCGGCUCUCUAGUACGGUACUGACGCUGAGACGCGAAAGCGUGGGGAGCGAACAGG